rnacentral:rRNA from 1 species
UACGAAGGGGGCUAGCGUUGCUCGGAAUCACUGGGCGUAAAGCGCACGUAGGCGGCUUUCUAAGUCGGGGGUGAAAUCCUGGAGCUCAACUCCAGAACUGCCUUUGAUACUGAAGAUCUUGAGUUCGGGAGAGGUGAGUGGAACUGCGAGUGUAGAGGUGAAAUUCGUAGAUAUUCGCAAGAACACCAGUGGCGAAGGCGGCUCACUGGCCCGAUACUGACGCUGAGGCACGAAAGCGUGGGGAGCAAACAGGG